GCAUUGGUGGUUCAGUGGUAGAAUUCUCGCCUUCCAUGCCGAAGACCUGGGUUUGGUUCUCUGCCAAUGCA
rnacentral:tRNA from 1 species